rnacentral:tRNA from 1 species
GGGGCUGUGGCUCAAUGGAUGAGCAUCUGCUUUGCAUGCAGAGGGUCCUAGGUUCAAUCCCCGGCAACUCCA